rnacentral:rRNA from 3 species
GUUAGGUAAAUCCGGCUCUCUCUAAGGCUGAGACACGACGUCGAGCUGCUACGGCAGUGAAGUCAUUGAUGCCAUGCUUCCAGGAAAAGCCUCUAAGCUUCAGAUAGUCAGGAAUCGUACCCCAAACCGACACAGGUGGUCGGGUAGAGAAUACCAAGGCGCUUGAGAGAACUCGGGUGAAGGAACUAGGCAAAAUGGUACCGUAACUUCGGGAGAAGGUACGCUCUUGAUGGUGAAGUCCCUCGCGGAUGGAGCUGACGAGAGUCGCAGAUACCAGGUGGCUGCAACUGUUUAUUAAAAACACAGCACUGUGCAAAAUCGCAAGAUGACGUAUACGGUGUGACGCCUGCCCGGUGCCGGAAGGUUAAUUGAUGGGGUUAGCGCAAGCGAAGCUCUUGAUCGAAGCCCCGGUAAACGGCGGCCGUAACUAUAACGGUCCUAAGGUAGCGAAAUUCCUUGUCGGGUAAGUUCCGACCUGCACGAAUGGCGUAAUGAUGGCCACGCUGUCUCCACCCGAGACUCAGUGAAAUUGAAAUCGCUGUGAAGAUGCAGUGUACCCGCGGCUAGACGGAAAGACCCCGUGAACCUUUACUACAGCUUGGCACUGAACAUUGAACCUACAUGUGUAGGAUAGGUGGGAGGCUAUGAAGACGUGACGCCAGUUGCGUUGGAGCCGUCCUUGAAAUACCACCCUUGUAUGUUUGAUGUUCUAACUUAGACCCAUUAUCUGGGUUGAGGACAGUGCCUGGUGGGUAGUUUGACUGGGGCGGUCUCCUCCCAAAGAGUAACGGAGGAGCACGAAGGUGGGCUAAUCACGGUUGGACAUCGUGAGGUUAGUGCAAUGGCAUAAGCCCGCUUAACUGCGAGAAUGACGGUUCGAGCAGGUGCGAAAGCAGGUCAUAGUGAUCCGGUGGUUCUGUAUGGAAGGGCCAUCGCUCAACGGAUAAAAGGUACUCCGGGGAUAACAGGCUGAUACCGCCCAAGAGUUCAUAUCGACGGCGGUGUUUGGCACCUCGAUGUCGGCUCAUCACAUCCUGGGGCUGAAGUCGGUCCCAAGGGUAUGGCUGUUCGCCAUUUAAAGUGGUACGCGAGCUGGGUUUAGAACGUCGUGAGACAGUUCGGUCCCUAUCUGCCGUGGGCGUUGGAAGAUUGAAGGGGGCUGCUCCUAGUACGAGAGGACCGGAGUGGACGAACCUCUGGUGUUCGGGUUGUGUCGCCAGACGCAUUGCCCGGUAGCUAAGUUCGGAAUUGAUAAGCGCUGAAAGCAUCUAAGCGCGAAGCGAGCCCUGAGAUGAGUCUUCCCUGAUACUUUAAGUAUCCUAAAGGGUUGUUCGAGACUAGAACGUUGAUAGGCAGGGUGUGUAAGCGUUGUGAGGCGUUGAGCUAACCUGUACUAAUUGCCCGUGAGGCUUAACCAU